rnacentral:rRNA from 1 species
UACGGAGGGAGCUAGCGUUGUUCGGAAUUACUGGGCGUAAAGGGCUCGUAGGCGGCCAACUAAGUCAGACGUGAAAUCCCUCAGCUUAACUGGGGAACUGCGUCUGAUACUGGAUGGCUUGGAUUUGGGAGAGGGAUGCGGAAUUCCAGGUGUAGCGGUGAAAUGCGUAGAUAUCUGGAGGAACACCGGUGGCGAAGGCGGCAUCCUGGACCAAUAUUGACGCUGAGGAGCGAAAGCCAGGGGAGCAAACGGG